AGCCUCUUCAGCCUGAAACUCUUUAUUCAGCUACAGACGAGAGAAAACUGCUCGGUCAACAUCCAACACAGAGACAUAUCCCUGCACAGUGCCAUGGUGACAAAUGACUGACAGCAGGUCGUAAGCGGUGACCUGGGAUGGACUCUCUUUAGCCAGGAAAGGUCGCAUGUCGAGGCCCUCCAACGGGAAGGACACAUGGCUGCUAAUCUUGAACGAAUACAUGACCUCGUGCCGGAAGCGUUUCAGUUAAACAUGGUCCACUGACCGGCGUAUGGAGUCCAUGAUGUAGGAGAUCCACCCCUGUGAGCUGUAAGUGUCGGGACACACG